rnacentral:tRNA from 1 species
CGCGGGGUAGAGCAGUGGUCAGCUCGCAUGGCUCAUAACCAUGAGGUCGUUGGUUCGAAUCCAACUCCCGCAACAA